UUUAUUUUACAAAUAUAUUUGCAUAGCAUUUAAUUGUAAUAAUGCCAAAGUAUUCGAUAAAUCGAUUCGACGAUCGUAAAAUAAGGAAGAUACUAUACUGGUUAGCUGUCACAGUGCUACAAAAUCGCCUUUAUUGCAAGUCGUAAAAGUGUAGGUGUGUCGUGACCGACAAGAUUCUCUGUCAUGAGUAAAGAUCAUAAAUUUCCCUCUUUAGAGACUCAGAAUACUGGCUGAUUACCAACAAUUAAAUGAUAUUUAUAAUUACGAAGAUGCCACUCCUUUGGCACGACGGGACACAUUUAUAGAUUGGCCAGCGAUUUAAUCGCUGCCAUUUGAAUUACCUAUCUGCCUACCUGUCGUCGAGAAUACGGAUCCAUGGAUCCGGUCGUUGCCAAUGAUCAAAAAAUAGAUCCGAGCGCAACCUGUUCGAAAUAGCCAAGUGGAAACCUGUGACAUCUGUGAAUGACUCGUUAAUGUCAUAGUGAUCGUAGUUCUCUUUCGAAUCGCUUAAUACAUUUCCGACUAACUUGAUUAAUUCGACAUAAAUUAUACUAAACGUUGCUAUAGCAAAAGAAAUUAUAUCUAAUAUAAAUUAUUAAUGUAAAGAAAUAAAUCUUAGGAAACAUUAUUUAAUCAUAGGCAAUAAAUGAAAUCAGAAGGAAAAAUUCUUUAAGGAUUAUCCAAUAAUCCUUAAAUAAUUCUAUAAGAUUAUCCAACUUUUUUCAAUAUCGAACGAGUGAUAUCUCAAAAGAAAGACGAAGACAGAAAGGGUGGGAUGUCCGUCAAAUUUCUAUGAUUCGUAAUGCAAAGAGAAAUCGUACGUGGGUCGAAGGUGUCUAAGCUGAAGGGAAGAAGGAAAUCUAAUUAUAGAAGUCGUUGUGCCGCGUGCUGAAGGUGGUAGUAGGGUGUGAGUGCGGGUGCAGAAACGAGAAUCGGUUGCAUUGGGCGGCCAUAAAAUGCAGGCUGCAUCCGCUCGGCGCAGAUGUACUCAGACGGAGGUUCUCCUGUACCACGAGGAGGAGACCGAAAGGAUUUUUCUUCUUUCGUGGCCCUCUGGCCCACCAAAUAUUAAAGGGCAACGAACUCGGAAGGACUACCAGGGAAGAUUCAUAAACUCUUCCUCUUUAUGACAUCAAUGUCAAACAUGUUCACGAUUACUGAACGACUAGAAAAUUCAAUAUAAAUCGUGACAAGAACAUUGACUGUCUAAUUUUCUAAUAAAUUUCAAUUUAAUUCAAUUCACAAAGAGAAAAUGAAAAUUAUAAAUUUUAUAAUAAAAAUUUUAUAAUAAAAACAUCCUCCGAAGGACACAGUUUAUUGUCUUGUAGUUAGUGAUCUUUUUUAUUGGUUGUCGCGUCUAUUCAUUGAGAAGCCAUGUGGUUAACUGCAGUGUUUCCUGCCUUAAUUACUAUGAUAAAAAAUGAUGGAUGUUAAAGAGAGUUUCGUUCGAAAACAUCGCAGGCAAUCUCAUUUACAAUAUAAUAAACUAGGUCAAUCGAAGAUGAAGAAUCGACAGAUACAUUUUUUUAGAUCAAAAUCUAAAACCUCGUAAUUUCUUUUCAUUUUUCAGACGACUCAAGCAAUUAACUCUUUCAUUUUCCCUCAUCGUCGUCGUCGAUCUUUACCGAAGUAAACACGAGGCCUCCCUCGAAACAACAGCUGUGGGAUAUCGCACACGAUCGACUCGUGCCGGGCAAGUCGCGAUUAUUAUUGUUUCCUUUUCUUUUCCCUUCCUUUUUUUUUGUUGCUUUCUUCUCUGAAAGUAGCCGAGCGUGUGCCCAUGACGUGGCCAUGUAAGGGCUAGGCGGGGGUGCUGCUCUUGCUAAUUUUAGAUCGACUCCAGGGCUCCAGGAGUCAGCGAUGGAUCGGCAGCUGGUGAUUCGAGUUGGUUCAUAGCCUUGCACGUGGGUCUUUCUACUUCGGAACGUGUCUCACCGUUCACGAACGACGGACAUCUCUCUCCCUCUCCUUCUCUCCCUCCCUAUUUCUUUCUCUCUCUUAUUUUCUUCCCCUCCUAAUGUCGUUUCUCUUGUAGAAACUCGUUGUGUCCAGUAGCUUUGAUCCAGAUGCGUUUAGCAUCCGAUCUCAAGAGACUUCCGUAUCUCGGUGAAGGGUGAUAAUUUUAAAAAUUUCCCUUCCCGAAUCGAACGGAUGUAACUUCGGUUGAGUAUUUCCAAUAUUUACGAUUUACAAAUCCUUCGUUUUAAACGAUAACACACAAAAUAAUAAAUAAUCAAUUAAUAAUCUAAUGUAAAUAUUGUAAAUUAUGAAUGAUAGAUAAUGUUGUUUUAAUAGAUAGUAAUAUUGUUUUAAGAGAAGGAAGAAAGUCCUCUUAGAGCGCUUAAUGAAGAUCGAUAAAGUCGAAAGAGGAAGAGGAAGGAGAUAGCAAAAGGGUGAAAGAGAUAAAAUUGUGAAGAGGGAUGAAGUGGAAAGAGCUUUUCUUCGUUCGAGCCAAACCAUCGUUGUGAGGAAGAAGUACAGAGAAGGAAGCACCUCAGCGGAUGUGAUGUUUAGGACAUGGCCGUACAAAAAAUGCCUCCCGUAUAAAUAUAGACGAUGGUGGUUGCCAUCGUAAUGGUUGUGGUUGUGAUAGUGCUGCUGGUGGUGGUGACUGCUUACCAAUCGAAAUUUCUCUUUGACCCACAUUCCGAGAUUGAUUAUUUACAAAGGGUCACGGUGUUCCUGUUUUCGUUUCUCUUGGUUGUCUUCUCCUUCAUCUGCAUUGAUUUAUGUGAAAUAUGGAAUAAAAAAAUUAGGGAGGGAGAGAGAGAGAGAGAGAGAGAGAGAGAGAGAGAGAGAGAGAGAGAGA